ACAGAGGGGGCAAGCGUUGCUCGGAAUUACUGGGCGUAAAGGGCGCGUAGGCGGGAUGGCAAGUCGGUCGUGAAAUCCCUCGGCUCAACCGAGGAACGUCGAUCGAUACUGCUGUUCUUGAGGAUUGCAGAGGAGACUGGAAUUCCCGGUGUAGCGGUGAAAUGUGUAGAGAUCGGGAGGAACACCGGUGGCGAAGGCGGCCCGCUGGGCAGGAAGACCCCGUGAGGGGUCGGCUGACGCUGAGGCGCGACAGCGUGGGGAGCAAACAGGA
rnacentral:rRNA from 1 species